rnacentral:rRNA from 1 species
CAUUUUGAACUGCAUGGUUCGAAAUUGAAAGGCGGCUUCGGCUGUCACUUAUGGAUGGACCCGCGUCGCAUUAGCUAGUUGGUGAGGUAACGGCUCACCAAGGCAACGAUGCGUAGCCGACCUGAGAGGGUGAUCGGCCACACUGGGACUGAGACACGGCCCAGACUCCUACGGGAGGCAGCAGUAGGGAAUCUUCCGCAAGUGGACGAAAGUCUGACGGAGCAACGCCGCGUGAUGUGAUGAAGGCUUUCGGGUCGUAAAACUCUGUUGUUAGGGAAGAACAAUGUGCUAGUUGAAUAAGCUGGCACCUUGACGGUACCUAACCAGAGGAAGCCACGGCUAACUACGUGCCAGCAGCCGCGGUAAUACGUAGGUGGCAAGCGUUAUCCGGAAUUAUUGGGCGUAAAGCGCGCGCAGGUGGUUUCUUAAGUCUGAUGUGAAAGCCCACGGCUCAACCGUGGAGGGUCAUUGGAAACUGGGAGACUUGAGUGCAGAAGAGCUAGAAAGUGGAAUUCCAUGUGUAGCGGUGAAAUGCGUACCCGAGAUAUGGAGGAACCACCAGUGGCGAACGCGACUUUCUGGUCUGUAACUGACACU